ACGGACCGCCAUACCACCCUGAAGGUGCCCGAUCUCGCCAGACCUCGGAAGCUAAGCAGGGUCGGGCCUGGUUAGUACAAGAGUGAGCUUGUGAUCGCUCAAGGUUGGUUAUCU
rfam:Mesocricetus auratus contig159420, whole genome shotgun sequence.